GAUGAACGCUGGCGGCGUGCUUAACACAUGCAAGUCGAACGGAAAGGCUCCUGCCUGCCGGGGUACUCGAGUGGCGAACGGGUGAGUAACACGUGGGUGAUCUGCCCUGUACUUCGGGAUAAGCGUGGGAAACUGGGUCUAAUACCGGAUAUGACAAUCUCUUGGAUGGGGUUGUGGAAAGCUUUUGCGGUAUGGGAUGAGCUCGCGGCCUAUCAGCUUGUUGGUGGGGUAAUGGCCUACCAAGGCGUCGCCGGGUAGGCGGCCUGAGAGGGUGGACGGCCACAUUGGGACUGAGGUACGGCCCAGACUCCUACGGUAGGCAGCAGUGGAGAAUAUUGCACAAUGGUGGCAAGCCUGAUGCGGCGACGCCGCGUGGGGGAUGACGGCCUUCUGGUUGUAAACUCCUUUCGCAACCGACGAAGCUUUUGUGACGGUAGGUGGAGAAGAAGCACCGGCUAACUACGUG
rnacentral:rRNA from 1 species